rnacentral:rRNA from 1 species
CCGACCACCGGCACGAACCAGAGCUUCGAGACGUAUUGGGACCGCAUCAAGGCCGAGUUCGACGAGCGAAAGCUCGUCGACCCGUACUUCAAAUGCGUCUACAUGCAGCGCGGCUCCAAGGCGAUGGCGAACCAUUGGGGGCGUAUCCAGUUGGUGUGCAACAAAUGGCAUGGAAUCGCCGAGGAGGUCGCGCCUCGCCCGGAGAGCGGCGCCAGCGUUGAGGAUCAGCUGCUGCGUAUGUUCACCAUGUAUCGGCGCAACAACCAAGACACCGACUUCAAGCACCUCCAUGUCUACAAGCGCAUUGACAAGUGUGAGAAGUGGGCGCAAGUCCGACGUACCCUCGACAAGGCCAAGGAGACAUACAAGCCGGACGCAACGACUCUGAGCGCGUCAGAGGGGCGGCCGGACGGCCACAAAUUGGCAAAAAAGGGAAAAAACGCCGACGCGCCAACCGCGCGAGUGCAGGAGUCCAUCGAGCCUUGCCUCGUCGACGCCCAGGCCCGGGCCGUCCUACGUGAAGAGAAGACCGAGGCGCGGUGGUCGUCGCUGAUGAAGAAUAGCGCCAUCAAGCUCGACAUGCUCCGGACGAACGUCGCCGCGAAGAAGAGGAACACCGACAUGGCUUUUCUGAUGGGCGGGGCGGACAUGCUCCAGAGCAACGACGAGCAG